rnacentral:rRNA from 1 species
GAUGAACGCUGGCGGCGUGCCUAAUACAUGCAAGUCGAGCGAACGGACGAGAAGCUUGCUUCUCUGAUGUUAGCGGCGGACGGGUGAGUAACACGUGGAUAACCUACCUAUAAGACUGGGAUAACUUCGGGAAACCGGCGCUAAUCCCGGAUAAUCUUUUGAACCGCAUGGUUCAAAAGUGAAAGACGGUCUUGCUGUCACUUAUAGAUGGAUCCGCGCUGCAUUAGCUAGUUGGUAAGGUAACGGCUUACCAAGGCUACGAUGCAUAGCCGACCUGAGAGAGUGAUCGGCCACACGGGAGCGGGGACAGGGUCCAGAGGCCUGCGGGAGGCAGCAGUAGGGAAUCUGCCGCAAUGGGCGAAAGCCUGACGGAGCGACGCGGCGUGAGUGAUGAAGGUCUUGGGAGCGUAAAACUCGGUUAUGAGGGAAGAACAUAUGUGUAAGGAACUGUGCACAGCGUGACGGUAACGAAUCAGAAAGCCACGGCUAACUACGUG